CCCCUCUCAGGAUUGCACUUAGAGAGAUUCCAGUAUUCUACCAGUCUCGGCUUCCAGGGGGAGAGUCAAGCAGAGGCCUACCCAUUCCAUUCCUAGCUUGGCAGUGGCUAGCGAGUGGAAGGCAAUCUGCUACAAGU